UACGGGGGGGGCAAGCGUUGUUCGGAAUUACUGGGCGUAAAGCGCGCGUAGGUGGCCUCAUAAGUCCGCUGUGAAAGUCCAAGGCUCAACCUUGGAAAGCCGGUGGAUACUGUGAGGCUAGAGUACGGAAGAGGCGAGUGGAAUUCCUGGUGUAGCGGUGGAAUGCGCAGAUAUCAGGAGGAACACCAAUAGCGAAGGCAGCUCGCUGGGACGUUACUGACACUGAGGCGCGAAAGCGUGGGGAGCGAACAGG
rnacentral:rRNA from 1 species